rnacentral:rRNA from 1 species
AUGUUUGAUACUAAAUCUUUGUAUGAUGAGCAUGAUUGCAAUGUUGUUAGUAUGUAUUCCUUGAAUAUCCAUGAUACUAAUGAUAUGCAAAGCCACAAGCUUGGGGAAGCUAUGUUUGAUGAAGAUGAUAUUUUUUGUCCCCCAAGUUUUGAUGAGAAAAUUUAUUAUGAUGAUAGCAUGCCUCCUAUUUAUGAUGAUUAUAUUGAUGAAAGUGGGUUUGGAAGAGUGUCAACUUUAGGAAGUAGUGAUCCCACUAUUUUGGAGGGUGUUGAAUUUUAUUGUGGUGAAUAUGAAAGUGGAUUUGGAAGAGUGUCAACUUUAUUUAGUGAUGAUUCCACUAUUUCGGAAGAGGUUCCAAUUGAUUAUGAGAACAAUGUUUCUAUCUAUGAUGAUUAUUGUGAUGACUUGUAUGCUAUUAAGAGUAAUGAUAACUAUGAAACUUGUCAUCAUGAUUUUAGUUUUCAAUUGGAUUAUGCCUCACAUGAUAAUUAUUUUGUUGAGUUUGCUCCCACUACUAUUCAUGAGAAGAAAUUUGCUUAUGUGGAGAGUAAUAAAAAUUCUAUGCUUGUAGAUCAUGAAAAGAACGCUUUAGGUGCUGGUUAUAUUGUCAAAUUAAUUCAUGAUGCUACUGAAAAUUAUUAUGAGGGAGGAACAUAUGCUUGUAGGAAUUGCAAUAAUAUCAAGUUUCCUCUAUAUGUGUUGAAAAUCUUGAAGUUAUGCUUGUUUAGCCUUCCUAUGCUAAUUGAUUAUUGUUCCCAUAAGUUGUUUGCUCACAAAAUCCCUAUGCAUAGGAAGUGGGUUAGGCUUAAAUUUGCUAUUCAUAUGCUUCAUGAUGCUCCCAUUAUGUUUAUGUGA